CUUGCGUUUUUGUUGUUAAAUAAAUCUUCUAUGAAAACAUAAUAGUUUUUUAAUUUUGUUUACUUCUCUGUACGAAAGCAAAAUGAAGACGAUAUAUUAUGUUUUACCUCUUUUAUUGACUUUAAUGGUAGUAUCAGGGAGAUGGUCCAGAAAUAGUUAUGUCGCAGUAAUGCACGAGUGUAAACGUGAAUGUAUCAGGAUAACUUUAAUCUGUGAGUGGCCAUGCCGUAUUUACUCAAAAACUAGAAUGGACUAUAAAUAUUGUGCAGUGGAUUGUAAAUUGGACAGACUAGUUUGUAUGGACGAGUGUGGUCGGUAUGUCAGGAGAUCACCCGUGCGGCGUAGGAAUACGAGGAACUUUCUGUCAAAU